rnacentral:rRNA from 1 species
UACGUAGGGUGCAAGCGUUGUCCGGAAUUAUUGGGCGUAAAGAGCUCGUAGGCGGUCUGUCGCGUCGGCUGUGAAAACCUGAGGCUCAACCUCAGGCCUGCAGUCGAUACGGGCAGACUAGAGUUCGGUAGGGGAGACUGGAAUUCCUGGUGUAGCGGUGAAAUGCGCAGAUAUCAGGAGGAACACCGGUGGCGAAGGCGGGUCUCUGGGCCGAAACUGACGCUGAGGAGCGAAAGCGUGGGGAGCGAACAGG